GGGUCAGUAGGUUGGUCGUGCCACCGGUACGUACUGGUCUCACUGAUUCCUCCUUCCUGAGGAACCUUAAUGCCAUUAAGUUGGUGUUGCGGGGAAACAGGACUGUUACUUUGAAAAAAUUAGAGUGUUUAAAGCAUGCUAACGCUUGAAUACAUUAGCAUGGAAUAAUGAAAUAGGACGAUCGAUCCUAUUUUGUUGGUUUCUAGGAUUGACGUA
rnacentral:rRNA from 1 species